GUUGACCUCGGAUCAGGUAGGGAUACCCGCUGAACUUAAGCAUAUCAAUAAGCGGAGGAAAAGAAACCAACAGGGAUUGCUCUAGUAACGGCGAGUGAAGCAGCAAUAGCUCAAAUUUGAAAUCUGGCGUCUUCGACGUCCGAGUUGUAAUUUGUAGAGGAUGCUUCUGAGUGGCCACCGACCUAAGUUCCUUGGAACAGGAC
rnacentral:rRNA from 2 species